GUGUAACCAGCAUAGGCACAGGUCGUUCGGUUACAACCAGCAGAGGUGCUGUUGCCUAUAUACAAACUGCUACCUUCACAUUGCAUGCUAGGGCACGUUCUAUUGGAUAGCUUAAGCUGGGAUGGCUCACAUUGUAAUCUGACAAUCAAUCCAAAAAUGGAAAAGAAAAAAUGAAGUUAGUCUAUGGGAAGAUAACAAAGGGAAAGGAGUGACUAGAAAUUGGAGACCUUAGAGUGAUUGACUUACGUCCAGUUGUUCGCAGAAUCACACUUGCACAUUACACAACUGUUGGCGGUGUAGACAUAUGUACCAUUAGCGACAAGUAAAGGAUAGUCUAAUGAGUUGUUAUUUGCUACCAUUGAUGUACAAGCUGAGAAUAGAAAAAAAGAGAAAACAUAAAUUUUUAAUAGACAAUUAACAGAGAUUAAGAAAGUAUCACAGAAAAUCAGAGACAUGGACUUGGGGCUUUUGAAGGCUCCAUUGGCUUUGGUCAUGAAUAGUGAGUCAGUAACGGGAUAUAACCCACCCAUUUGUCUAGGAGUUGUUUCAGAUGGCUAGCAGCAUAGGAUAAAUGUUAGCAUCUGGGUCAACCAACUUGGGCAGGGCUGAAGAGGGUUGAAGCCAAGUUAGAGCCUUAGAGGAGAGAAGGAAUAGUACAAUAUCAAUGAGUUCAGCUGAAUUAAACUUCCUUAGGCCAAGAUUUUCCCAAACUAUAAGCACAUCCAGCUUAUAUCAUAAGCAUUAAUGGCAAUCCCAUUGUAUAAUUAAUAGGAUGACUCGUGAAAAAUUACUAUUAUUUUUAUACACUUUCUAAUCUAGCAUGCACAAACUAGUAAAUAAAUUAGCAUACACAUUUCGACGUUUGAGAGGAUUAUUGGAGGACACUCAGUGAAUGAGCUACACUAGUAGCAUUCAGAUGCAGUUUAUCCAAGAGGGAAAAACAAAACAAAUGUUUUUCAAUUUUUAUCUGGAAUAGGAGGGCUCUAGUAAUGGACAUAUAUUCAACAAAACAGCAUACCAAAGCAAACAUACCCUUCAUAUGAUUCCAAAACACUAGCCAAAGACAAGUCAUGUGGUGCCCAUAUUAGCUCAAUAAAUCGAAAACAAAUGUAUAUAUCCUCUACACUAUUUCACUCAUGGACCCUAGUUCUUCAUUUGGCAGUCCUGUUCCUAUUUAUUUCAACAUGCCCCAAAAAAAGGGGCAAUACUUCAACAUGCCCCAAAAUAAGGGGCAAUACAACAGUGCAUACCAAUUAUUUUUCCUUCCUAGGGUAAUGUCAAAAUCAUUUGUGUCCUCAAAUUUAACUACGCGUGCAACAGAAAAUGCCAAGGUACUAAGAGCCAAGUAUCAGCCUCUCAGUCUUGCUCCAAUCAUACAUCAAACUUAUUGCUUUUUCACAACUCCAAAAGUGACCCAAUUGAGUGUACCAAAGUACUAACUCAAUUAUUAAAAUCCUCAAGUUUUUUCAAAUACCCCAUAUAGAGAUAAAAGAGAAAAUUCAAAAUUAUCGAGUGCCAUAUAAUUUUGCAGAAACUUUACUUCAGUUCAAUCAUUCCAUCCUUUCACUUCUCAUCACCUUAUAUCAAAACGCAUAAAUCCACAAAUAAGAAUGGUAAAUGUUCCCCAAAAAAAGGACAGAAUAGUGGAUUAUGACUAACAUUAUUCAAGCAAAUCUACUUUUUCAAAUAAAAGAAAUAAUAACCCAUAAUUUUUCAAAUAAUUACAUUCAUGUCAUUCUCUUGAGAGGGGAAAAAACAAUUUCAAUCAUUUAGCAUUUUUGUUGCCUAGUUGAAACUUGAAACCCAAAAAUCAGUCAUCAAUUUCAUACUUUUCUUACACUGACAAGUACAGAUAAAGCUCCAAAUGAACUGAAUCAAAUUCUAUGCUCUCAUUUCUCUUGAAUGAAUAUGUAAAGAUACAUCAAUUUUUGAAUAAUUUUUUCCUCUGCAAUUUCCGUUGAGUUCCUCCCCUGUUUUCUUUCCCCAGCAAUUUGAGUGAUCCAAACUGAGCCUUGAAUCCUUAAAUAAAUAUCACCAUAAAUGUUUAAAAACAAAAACAAAACUGAAGUAUAAUUUUGUUCGAUCAAAUUAAGCAGAACCUCCGAGCUGAAGAAUUUUCCUGAUAAUUACAUUCAUACCCUUCUACUAUUAGGAAAAGCGUUUUUGUUACCUAAUUCGAACCAAAAAAAUCACUCAUCUACUUCUAUGUUUCUGAAUCUGAAAAGUGCAGAUAAAUUAAAAAAAAGUGGUUUGGAAAAAUAGGAGAAAAGCAAAAGACCUUUGAGAGGAACAUCAAGAACAGCACCGGCCUGAAGAUUCUUGGGAUCUGUAAUGCCGUUGAGCCUCAACAACGUCUCCUGAGUGGUGCCGUACUCCUCCGCAAUCAGCUCCACGGAGCUCCCGGCUUCCACCACAUGCCCGUAGUGCACCACCUUCGAUCCAUUCACCUCAUCGCAGCUACACGGCAGCGGAAUCCAUAGCUCUUGCCCUACUUCAAUCAAAUUCGCAUCCGAAAUGUUGUUCACCGCCUGAAUCUCCUGAUACGUAACCAGUCCCGCGAACACCUCCGCCGCGAUGUGGUACAGUCCGUCGUCCUUCUGCACAGUGUACACCGGCCGGUGGUUCGAAAUUCCGGUUCCGUUAGAGCAGCGGCAGCGGAAGGGGAUGACGAUCUUGUCCUUCGCGGCUACGCUUUGGUUCGGCGAGGUCGAGGUCGGGAGGGAGUUGGCGCCGAGUAGAGUUCGAAGGUUUUUGACGUCGAAGAGAGUCUGGAUGGCAGAUAGAGUGGUGGUGUUGGGGGAGACGUAGUCGAUGAGAGCGCUGCAGGUGGUGGACCUGGUGGUGGAGUUACAGGUGAAGGCUGCCUGAACUUUGGGCACAGUGGUGAGCACGGAGAGGAAGAAUAGGGCGAGAAGCAGAGUAGCAGAACCCAUGGCCAGGGGUAGGUGCUAAUGCGCACGGUGGUGCUGAGGUUUAGAGUGGGAGGGUUUUAGUGGGAAGUGGAGGAAAAGGUGGAAGUGCAAGAGUUUGGCUACAGGGAUCACGUGCGAUGUAGCCUCUUACUCAUUCGGAAUUUCAGAGGCACCACUGUUGACCUGUUCAUUCCAUUAUUUCAUAUCCACCUUGCGAGGCUGGUUGGGGCCUUGGAGAAUUUUUUAUUCAAAUAUUAAUAUAUCAAAAUAGGAUUAUCAAGCUUUGAGAUAAGCAAAUUAGACAAUGGCUACAUUAACUUCUAUAAGUAUAUUAUUACUAUGUUGUUGAUUAACUUCUAUAAGUACAAGUAAUUAUUAUUACUAUGUUGUUGAUACCGGAUCAACUAAUGAUGUAUUCCUCCCUUUGGCAAUGACAACGAAAGCUCUUGUUGAAAUGCUGGAAUCUGGGCUCUCUGUUUCCUACGCGAAGAUGUUCGGACGGGUUGUCCAGACAUACCCUUCAAAGCCUAAGUCAAAUUUUGAAAUAAAUAGAAACUCUUAGAGACAGAGUAGGUGAGAGAACUCAUAGUAAUGCCCCCCUUUGUUCUAUUACACUAGGAUUUUUAUAAUGCUCAAAUGAGGCAUAGUAAUACUGAGUUGGCCCUUGUAAUGAUGGCUACUCAGUAGUGACAAGGCAAUCAUCACAACUGCAAGACAGUUGGAGCUGUGUCAGACGGUGUGUUAUGAUACAACUUGUCGUCCCUUCAACUUGUUGAACGUAUAGGACUGAUUGUGAUAGUCCGUUCAUAUAGACUUAAGGAUGGAAAAGAUCUCAUCAGUCAUUCAAGUAUCAGACAACCAAAUCCUUACACACUCGAGAAGAUUUGGGGUUGUUAGGGAAGUGUAGCCCGUUCGGUGGUACAAAUGGUCGGGAUAUGAUGUUUUCGAAUGUCUUGAAAGUUGUCCGAACAGUGAUAAAAGGAGUGACACGUGGUCCAACUAGGACGAUGCCAUGUGGAAAGACAUGUGGGAGAAGGCACCACAUAUGUGACUGAAUUUUUUUAAAAUACUAUUUUAAAAUGAAAAUUAUAUUUACGUCUACUUAAUUUCUUUUGGCAUUAGUUAAAGUAAUGAAUCAUUUUAAGACACAAUGGCUCUCUAUGAAAUAACCAAAUUAUCCUUAAAGAGAAAUGCACAUUCAUCUUAUUUGAAUGUCGGUGACAAACAAUUACAUGAUAUCCAUCCGACUUUCCAAAUCUGAACCCUUUUUAGUAUCUAACAUAUUUACAAAUAUUCAACCUGAUGGGCUUGAACAUUUGCACAAUGUCCAACCUUUUAAAUUUGGACACUACAAGAUGAGUUAUUUUAUUUUAUUACCAUUUCUUUUUUCUUUUUUUAGAUUUAUCACAUUUAAAUCAAAUUUAGAUUAUUUUUAAUUUUUUUUCAACUAUUUUAAGAUGGAAGACGGGUUAUCUUAAAAUUUAAGAAAAAAUGGAAUAAAAAAAAUAAAAAAGAAAAGUAAAAGUAAAUGUGAAAAAAAUAGAUUCGAAAUCAAUAAGUAAUUUUUAUAUACUACUUCAAAUUCAUUUGAUUUAUUUUAACAUUUUUUAUAAAGAUUAAAUACUUUAAAAAUACAUAAGUAUUUUUACUAAUUUGAUUUAUAUUUAAUUUUAUUUCAUAUUUUUCAUAAAACAAUUAAACAAGAGAAAAUCAUUUUCUUUUUUUUUCUUUAUUUAUUACCUUUUAGGAACAAAAACAUAAUUUAAAAGAUAUUUUAUAUAAGGAUUUGUUGUUGAGAAAAUAAUGAAGAAGUCGAAUAUAAAAGAGAAGACUGAAAAGGGUAUUUUGGGCAUAUAUUAGAAAUUUGAAGGUGAAUGUGUGUUUUAAAGAAUUUGUAUUGGAUCAUAUCUCUGGCCAUCUGGGCUUUACAAAAGGAAACAUAGUAUUGGAAUGUGUAUGAAUAUAUUUCCAAAAUUAGUCCCUAAAAAGUGAUUUAUAAAAGAGACUUGUUGUAAAGUGAAAUGGAAAGGUGUGUGAUUGAGAACUGACGUACAAAAGAAACAUACCAUUUGAAAGUGGACAGGAGGGAUAUGGAUGGAUUUCGAUGGAAUGAAGGAAUCAAUGGUCCAAUCAUAGAGGAAUUUGAUAGAGAAGGAGAAAAGAAAAUUGAGAGGGAGGAUUUGGGUUUUCUUAACUGCCUACUUUCUUCCAAACAAUGCUAAGGAUUAGGAAAACACAACUAUCCCACUGAAGGCUGAAGCUAAAGAUUAAAGAUAAGCACUUGAUGGAAUUAUCAAGGGAACAAACAAAAUUAACAAAACUAGACUAGGGCCAUCCACGAUCCCACUUCCAGCUAGUGCGGUUGGGUAUGGAAAUCAAAUGCUUGGCAAACGCUCUGUGAAUAGGGAUGGCAAUGGGACGGGCUAGGCUACCUACCACUGCUCCACCGCAAAUGCUAGGCCACUGUCCACGCCUUGGAUUCAUAUCCAUGCUAGAGGAAUAUCACGUGACUAAGACAUGUUUACGAGUAAAGAAAACUGGAGGAAACAUGAAUACUAAAUAUACUUUCUUUCUUCUUCUUUUUUAAUUUUUUUAAUUUAUUUUUUUCUUUUAUAUUAAAAUUAAUAUAAUUUAAAAAUGUAUAAAAUUUAAUUAUAAUUAUUUUUCAUAUUUUUAAUAUAAAAUAUAAAAACUCUUAUAGAAAUGUUAAAAGACUUAACUUAUAUUCUUAAAAAUUAUUUAAAUUUUUUUAAAAUGGAUUGCUUUACGGAAUAAAUUUCAAGUAUUUUUAUAGUUAUCUAAGCAUAUGAAAAAUAUUUUGAAAACUUUUUCAUGAAAUCAAGAACUAUUUUUAAAAUUUGUUUUCAAAAAAUAUUUUUGAAAAAAAUUCACAAACAAACUCUUAGUAAUUAAGAGCAUAUUUGAUUAUGUGAUUUAAAAACAAAAAAUUGUUUUUUACAAAUUUCUAAUACUGUUUGACAAUUAUUUUUUGAAAAUAAUUUUUAAAAAUAAAUUGAAAUAAAAAAUAAUUUUCACCUUUUUUUUUAAAAAAAAAAAAUGAAGAUAUGGAUCCAUUUGACCAUAUUUUUAAAAAAUGUUUUUGAAUUAAAAAAUAAAAUACAAUUUUUAAAAACAAGUUUCAAAGAAUAUAAUCAAACAGCCCUAAGUAUCCUACUUCAAAUUUGAGCAUUAGCUUUCAAAAUUUCAUAGAAUUUCUAUAAUUUGUGUAUUAAGCAUGAUACUUUUGAAAAGAAAAAAAAAUGUGAAAGAAAAAUAAAUUAUAAAAAAUUGGAGAAGAGAGAACAUGUUGGUAUUGACUUUGUAUAUGAAAUUUAUAAAAAAUAAUAAUAACUAAUAAUAAAUAAAAACUAAAAAAAAAAAAAGAAAAAGAAAAAAACAUCCAGGAAAGAUGAAGAGAAAAUGUUGAUAUUCAAAGUGAGAGAAAACAAUGUUUAAAAUGCAAGAAUUUGGUAUAUGUUGUAACUUGUAAGAGACUAAAAUUUUGGGUUUUUAUUGUGUCAUUGGCCUCAGUUGCUAGAUCAGGGAGAACCAAAAUCACAUCAUCACUCAAGAAAAAAAGGUUUUACUUUCUGCCCAUUCUUUAUUCACGAAACUAACCAGUACAAAAAUACACCACCAAAAUUAAACUCAAAAAUAGACACUAACAUUAGAAUGACCAGCGGAUUGGAACAGAUGCCGCAACAAAAAUGCAGAAGAAAUGAUAGAGAAGCAUAGAAAUCCUACUGGGAAUGAUGAAGAUAAAGCAUAACCAAUUGGCUUACUAUGAAAACAAAGUUCCAUCUCCAACUGGGCAGAGUGAUUUUCGAAGCAUAGCUGGGAGCAUUGUUAGUAGCUGUUUGCCAACAAGAACAAACACAUGAGUCUUCAGUUGAUAAGAAUAGCUAGCAAGCGAGAAAGAUCAUGUGAAGAAAAGAUUAAUGUAUUUUGGUUCUUGUGACCAUAAGAAAAUUUGAUUGUUGAAAAUCAAAUGAAGACUUGGGCCAAGUCCAAAACCACAACAACCACCCAUGUAACAAUUGGUGCGACAUCUCAAGAAACAGUAAUCUUCAAAUACAGGUAUUUGUCUUAGUGGAUUGUGUUCAUGUUGAGUCAAAAUCUAAGCAUUUUACUGCAUAGAUCAACUCAAGCCCGAUUACGAAUAAUCAUGUCAAGCCUAAUUAUUAAACAGGUAAUAUGUCCUAUAAUCAUUCAACCCAUUUAAUAAUCAAGUCAUCAUAUUUAAUAAUUAGGUUGAAUUAGAUUUUGUACAAGUCUAUAUAAUUAAUGCCUCGACCAAAUGUGUUUAUGACUCGAUUCAUCUAUUUAUUUAAAAAUAAAUUUGAAAUGAAUCAAAUAUGGGGUUAGGUUAAAUAAUUUAAAAUUAUAAUUAGAUUAACUAAUGGAAUUAUUAAAUAGGUCAAUUCGGGUUAAAUUCAUAUUAUAGGGAAUGAUCCAAAAACUAUCAACUUAUUAAAUGGAUUAUGCAAUCAACACAAAUUUGACAAAGACUUGAUUAUGCUCAACCCAAACCCAUGAAAAACGUAUUGGCUUCGAGUCGAGUUGGCUAACUCACUCACAUAGCACUUAGGCUAUAUUCAGGCUUAUAAAUGCCCCCACUCAUUCUAUUAACGGAACAUACAAACUCAAAAUAAUGCAUCAAAACGCGUAAUGUGAACUUACAUGAACAAGUGGACUCAACAAGGCUUGUGAAGAUUGUUUGGUUGGUGUAACCAGCAUAGGCACAGGUUGUCCUGUUACAAGUGGUAGAUGUGGAGUUGCCAAUGGAUAAACCACUACUCCCACAUUCCAUGCUAGGGCACGUUCCAUUUGUUAUAUUAAGCCCGGAUUGCUCACAUUGUAAUCUGACCCAUCAGUCCAAAAAUGAAGCAAAAAAAAAAAAUUCAGAAAGAAUCAGUCUACGUGAAGCUAACAAGGGAAA
rnacentral:lncRNA from 1 species